rnacentral:rRNA from 1 species
UACGGGGGGGGCAAGCGUUGUUCGGAAUUACUGGGCGUAAAGGGCGCGUAGGCGGCCUGCUAAGUCGGAUGUGAAAUCCCUCGGCUUAACCGAGGAAAUGCAUCCGAUACUGGCGGGCUUGAAUCCGGGAGAGGGAUGUGGAAUUCCAGGUGUAGCGGUGAAAUGCGUAGAUAUCUGGAGGAACACCGGUGGCGAAGGCGGCAUCCUGGACCGGUAUUGACGCUGAGGCGCGAAAGCUAGGGGAGCAAACGGG